rnacentral:rRNA from 1 species
AAGAGUGAAAUCGGAUUUUCUUUUUAUAGAACUAUAUUUAAGUUGAGGCAGUAAAAUAUUGGGCAUAAACUAGGAUUAGAUACCCUAUUAUACCAGAAAAUAAUUUAACCAGACCAAAGUAAUAAUAGCUAUAUUCUAAAAAUUUGAAGAAUUUGGCGGUGAUUUAGUCUAGUCAGAGGAACCUGUUUUUGAAUCGAUAAACCACGAAUAAUCUUACUUAAGUAUGUAUACCAUCAUUAUUAGGUAAUUUUUAUAGAAGUAAUUACUGGAUAUUUGUUAAUAAUGUUAAAUAUAUUAGAUCAAGGUGCAGCUUAUACUUAAGUUAAAAUGGGUUACAAUAAAAUUUAUUUAUACGGAAUUAUAAAUUUGGAAGGAGGAUUUGAUUGUAAAUUAGUUUAAUAUGCUCAUUAGAUAUAAGCUCUAAAUCAUGUACAUAUCGCCCGUCGCUUUC